AUUGAACGCUGGCGGCAGGCCUAACACAUGCAAGUCGAGCGGAUGAAGGGAGCUUGCUCCUGGAUUCAGCGGCGGACGGGUGAGUAAUGCCUAGGAAUCUGCCUGGUAGUGGGGGAUAACGUCCGGAAACGGGCGCUAAUACCGCAUACGUCCUGAGGGAGAAAGUGGGGGAUCUUCGGACCUCACGCUAUCAGAUGAGCCUAGGUCGGAUUAGCUAGUUGGUGGGGUAAAGGCCUACCAAGGCGACGAUCCUUAACUGGUCUGAGAGGAUGAUCAGUCACACUGGACCUGGGACCCGGUCCAGCCUCCUACGGGGGGCAGCAGGGGGGAAUUUUGGAAAAUGGGCGAAAGCCUGAUCCAGCCAUGCCGGGUGUGUGAAGAAGGUCUUCGGUUUGUAAAGCCCUUUAAGUUGGGAGGAAGGGCAGUAAGUUAAUACCUUGCUGUUUUGACGUUACCAACAAAAUAAGCACCGGCUAACUUCGU
rnacentral:rRNA from 1 species